UGCCAGACUCCUACGGGAGGCAGCAGUGGGGGAUAUUGCACAAUGGGGGGAACCCUGAUGCAGCGACGCCGCGUGGGUGAAGGAGCGUUUCGGCGCGUAAAGCCCUAUCGGCAGGGAAGAAGGAGGACGGUACCUGACUAAGAAGCCCCGGCUAACUACGUGCCAGCAGCCGCGGUAAUACGUAGGGGGCAAGCGUUAUCCGGAUUUACUGGGUGUAAAGGGUGAGUAGGCGGCAUGGUAAGCCAGAUGUGAAAGCCAUGGGCUUAACCCGAGGAUUGCAUUGGGAACUAUCAAGCUAGAGUACAGGAGAGGAAAGCGGAAUUCCUAGGGUAGCGGUGAAAUGCGUAGAUAUUAGGAGGAACAUCAGUGGCGAAGGCGACUUUCUGGACUGUAACUGACGCUGAGGCACGAAAGUGUGGGGAGCAAACAGGAUUAGAUACCCCGGUAA
rnacentral:rRNA from 1 species